GCUCAGGAUGAACGCUGGCGGCAUGCCUAAGACAUGCAAGUCGAACGAAGGGACCCAAUGAGAUUUAUAGAAGUUUGGAGAGCUUGCUCAAAGAAUGGAAAUAAAUCAAUUUGGAUUAUCCCUUAGUGGCAAACGGGUGAGUAACACGUGGGUUACCUGCCUUCAAGAUGGGGAUAACAGUUGGAAACGAUUGCUAAUACCGAAUGUGAUCUACGGAUUAAAGAAGCCUUUAAAGCUUCGCUUGAAGAUGGGCCUGCGGUGCAUUAGCUAGUUGGUGAGGUAACGGCCCACCAAGGCGACGAUGCAUAGCCGAACUGAGAGGUUAAUCGGCCACAUUGGGACUGAGACACGGCCCAAACCCCUACGGGAGACAGCAGUUAGGAAUAUUCGUCAAUGGGGGAAACCCUGAACGAGCAAUGCCGCGUGAGUGAUGACGGUCCUCUGGAUUGUAAAACUCUGUUGUUUGGAAAGAACUGUAAGAAGAGGAAAUGCUUCUUACUUAACGGUACCAUUCAAGAAAGCCACGGCUAACUACGUGCCAGCAGCCGCGGUAAUACGUAGGUGGCGAGCGUUAUCCGGAUUUAUUGGGCGUAAAGCGUCCGCAGCCGGUUUAUUAAGUCUAGAAUAAAAGCCUGGAGCUUAACUCCAGUUCGUUCUAGAAACUGAUAUACUUGAGUGUAGUAGAGGCAAAUGGAAUUUCUAGUGUAGCGGUAAAAUGCGUAGAUAUUAGAAGGAACACCAGUGGCGAAGGCGAUUUGCUAGGCUAUUACUGACGGUCAGGGACGAAAGCGUGGGGAGCAAAUAGGAUUAGAUACCCUAGUAGUCCACGCUGUAAACGAUGAGUACUAAGUGUCGGGUUACCGGUGCUGAAGUUAACACAUUAAGUACUCCGCCUGAGUAGUGCGGUCGCAAGGCUGAAACUCAAAGGAAU
rnacentral:rRNA from 1 species